CAAAUUCACAGCACUUAACAUCCGGUAUACCCGCUAACAAAGGACCCAGACAUCGGAGAUCACGAAGGCCGCGGCCUUGGGAGGAUGCAGAACCUGAAUUUGGACACAGCCAAUGUAACCAGUCUAAAAAUGUGCCAAUGAUUGAAGACGGCAGCGAUUCGCUAAUUUUUUCUUCUCUGAAGUAGAGAUCUGUACUAAUUUAAAUUUUUAAUUCAUUUAUGUGUUUUUUACAAGGGCAGCAAUAUAUUGUAGUCUAUGGUGUUUUGAAGUCAUUAUCAAAUCCCAUUUCAGGGGCACUUCUAAGAUAUUUUGGAUCCUCUGCUACUGCUCAAGAUGAGACAUCCACUGCCCCAGCCACAGUCCCAACCCUUCAGGAUGAGCUGCCAUCUCCAUCCGCUGCUACGUCUGUAGUCCCACAGUUAUUAUCUGAACAAAGAUCUGACAGUGAGGAUGAAGAUGUUGUUCCAUCUACUUCCACCCAGCAUGAGACUUCAGAAAUCCCCUGUGAUGAACCCCCACUGAGUCUGACUGCUGAGGAUGAAUCAACUGACCCUGCAAACUGGCCUUCACCUCUGACUGACGGGAUUCGGAUGGAGCUGGUUCGAAGGGGACCAAGUAGCAUACCAACUGACUUUGUUUUCCCAAGGAAUGAGAGUGACGGGAGAAGUUGUCAUCACCACUAUUAUAGGAAGACUCUAACAUUGCGCCGGCCCACCUCCUCCCCUUCUCCCCCCGGCUUGACUGGCGCUGUCCUGUGUACCACCAUGGUUCCAAGUGUCCUGUGGCUCCGUUUCUUCCCGAAUCCCGUGUGGGGAUCUCUUCACUUGGUCAAAGAUCAUCAUAUCAAGCAGAUUUCUACAGCCCAGAGCCCAAUCGCCAAAAAGACUUAUUCAUGCAGCCUGUUAAAUCAUCACAAUUAAAAUUUUCUACGCAGUUCUGAGUUCUCUCCUUAUUGAAAUACAUCGUGGAUAAUGUAUCAUGAAGUGAUGUUUAGGUAAGAGGUUUCUUGAAGGAAAGAGACCCUUAAAAAGUUGAUGAUGCUCAACGAUUAAGUAUGUUAAAUAGCAGUUAAAUAACAGGAGGAUGGCACAAGCUGUGACAACCUGCAAUAUAUAAA